rnacentral:rRNA from 1 species
GAUCUGGCUUCAGGUCGGGGACAACAGUUGGAAACGACUGCUAAUACCGGAUAUGCCGAGAGGUGAAAGAUUAAUUGCCUGGAGAUGAGCUCGCGUCUGAUUAGCUAGUUGGUGGGGUAAGAGCCUACCAAGGCGACGAUCAGUAGCUGGUCUGAGAGGAUGAUCAGCCACACUGGGACUGAGACACGGCCCAGACUCCUACGGGAGGCAGCAGUGGGGAAUUUUCCGCAAUGGGCGAAAGCCUGACGGAGCAAUACCGCGUGAGGGAGGAAGGCUCUUGGGUCGUAAACCUCUUUUCUCAGGGAAGAAAAAAAUGACGGUACCUGAGGAAUAAGCAUCGGCUAACUCCGUGCCAGCAGCCGCGGUAAUACGGAGGAUGCAAGCGUUAUCCGGAAUGAUUGGGCGUAAAGCGUCCGCAGGUGGCCAUGUAAGUCUGCUGUUAAAGAGUCAUGCUUAACAUGAUAAAAGCAGUGGAAACUACAGAGCUAGAGUACGUUCGGGGCAGAGGGAAUUCCUGGUGUAGCGGUGAAAUGCGUAGAUAUCAGGAAGAACACCGGUGGCGAAAGCGCUCUGCUA